AGCGUCAUAGCUCAGCUGGGAGAGCAACAGACUGAAGUAACUGAGAUGGAACAUGGUAUAUCUGGAGGUCCCGUGUUCAAUCCACGGUGAUGCUA